rnacentral:rRNA from 1 species
AUGAAUUUCCCCAAAGUCGGCCGCACGCGACACCGUCCUUUUUUUCUUCUUUUUCUUUGGAAAAAAUCCAAAGGAGCAAGCCCUAGCUCGUCCGAAUCCAACCCCCUCGCCGAACAAAUGUCCGACCGCCGCCGGGACAAGGAGAGGCCCCGCGAGCGCGGCGGCUACGACCAGCCGCGGGAGCGCGACCACGACAGCCACCGCGACGCCGACCGCCACCGCGACCGGGACCGGGACGUCGACCGCCACCGCGACCGGGACCGGGACCGCGGCCAGGACAAGGAGCGGGAGCGGGACCGCGACCGGGACUGCCGCCGCGCCCGCAAGCGCUCGCGCUCCCGCUCCCCCUCGGCCGACAGGGACCGCGCCCGCCGCCGCCGCUCCCACUCCCACUCCCACCCCCACCGGUCCCGCUCCCCCGACGCCGCCCGCCACAAGCGCCGCCGCGAGGGGUCGCCCGUCGCCGACCGAAAGGAGGAGGACAGGAAGCCGGAUCCCCCCUCCGCCCCCAAGGCCGCCGAGGAGGCCGCCCCGGUGGGCGACGGGGACGUGGACGCCGAGGAGCUGGAGAUGAUGAAGAUGAUGGGGAUCCCCGUCGGGUUCGACUCCACCAAGGGCAAGUACGUCCCCGGCGCCGACGUCAGCGGCGUGCGCGCCGUCACCAAGCGCCAGCCGCGGCAGUACAUGAACCGCAGGGGCGGGUUCAACCGUCCCCUGCCGCCCGAGGUCAACCGCUGA